rnacentral:misc_RNA from 1 species
GCGAAAUGCGAUAAGUAAUGUGAAUUGCAGAAUUCCGUGAAUCAUCGAAUCUUUGAACGCACAUUGCGCCCUC